UACAGAGGUCCCCGAGCGUUGUUCGGAUUCACUGGGCGUAAAGGGUGCGUAGGCGGUGGGGCAAGUCUGAUGUGAAAGCUUCGAGCUCAACUCGGAAAUGGCAUUGGAAACUGCCCCGCUGGAGGCUUGGAGGGGGGACUGGAAUACUUGGUGUAGCAGUGAAAUGCGUAGAGAUCAAGUGGAACACCAGUGGCGAAGGCGAGUCCCUGGACAAGACCUGACGCUGAGGCACGAAAGCCAGGGGAGC
rnacentral:rRNA from 1 species